CAGCCAGUUGGCCAGGACCCCUCUGCAAUAAAAUAUUAAUAUUAAAAAAAACAGCCUUUUUUAUCAUCUGAGGUAUUUGUAGCCGCCUCUCUGAGCAGCGUUCACUCCCUUCUUCAUUCAUAUUGUGUGGAAUACAUUGGAUUCCAUCUCCUCACAGCCCUGUGGGGAGAGGUGGUGGUGGCUUUCCUCCAGCAAGCCUUGGCAGGCUCCAGCUGUACACUGCUACUUGAUUAAGGAUUUGGCGUGGUAGCUAAGGUCAGCUUCCAGGAAGGCUUCCCUGGCUGUGUCACAAAUUGGAGAAAAGGAAACAAACCUGCAGAAGAUGCCAUAUGCAGAGGGGUGGCUUCAUGUUAUAACAACCCACUCUCAAGAGAACCAACUCAUCCAGGAGAAAAGACUAAAUCUUCCUCAUUCUACAGACUUGAGGAUGCUAGCCUUCCCCAGGCCGUACAGAAAGAAGAAAAUAGAAGCACUGGCCAGGUUUUGUGAAAUACAGCACGCAGGCAGAGAUGUCAGGACGGAUCUCACUGGAGAUGAAUAUCUAAGCAACAGUUCAAACGCUAUUGACUUAACAGGAACCAACUGUGCCUUUUAUGAACAAACCUAAAUCAGAACAGAAACUUCAGGGCUGACUUUGAAAAGAGGCCCCCAGACCUCGCUCGGUUACUAACCCACCCCCAAGCUCCCGCAUGUGCUGGAGCAGAAGCACAGCCUCUCUGACCAGUUCCUGUCUGUAGUGUCUGUCUGUCCCACCAGUGUGGCAGCAAUGGGCUACAGGCUUGAGUCAGGGGAAUCCUGAAGUGCGUUGGUGACCCAUCCCAUCCCGCCCCCUUGUCCCUCCAGGGAACUUUUAUUUUUAUUCCUAUACUUUACCUCCACUGGCUAGUCGGGUCUGAGCUUCAGGCCCUGCCCACGUUAUUGUUUAUGGGAAGAGGCAGUCUCCAACAGGAACGUCCUGGGGUCCACACCCCUGUGCGCUGAUACCCCUAGGAUCAGCCUAUGGGCCCAAUAACAGCAAACAAAGAUAGUGAGCAGAGGGGACGUGCCCCUGGCUUAAUUUUGGGGAAUGACUACUUACUAAGGAGGCAGGGAGCGAGUGGCAAGGAGGAGACUCCCCUCAGAAAAUUGCUGCCCCAGAAAAAGAUCUUAUUACCUCUGGGACUGUCUGGAAGACCUGGAGAAAAACCCAUUGCAGGGUCAUGCAGGAGUGAGCCUGGGACUGAGACCAUCCUGGUGUAAAGGAGAACAGAAACCACACACCCCAAGAUGGGCUAGGAGACCAGGGGGACAUAAACGUUGUCUCCUACCAGGUCCCCACAUGAUGCCAGGGCCCCAGGGCCAUAGCGACACCAGGACCCAGCUCUGCUUGCUGUGGGGGCGGGAGAGGCUUCUUCUCACCGAACAAUCUGACUGUUGCCAGAUGUGGGCUCCCAGCCAGCUUUUACAUAAUUCAGGCUUUUCUUCUCUCCACACGGUCCAACUUAAAGGAGCCUUAGAAGUUGGGCUUUAAUCUUCAUCCCGAGCCCUCCCUACCUCCUUUCAUGUUGUUCCUCCGCGUGGCCACAAACCCUCUCACCCAGAUGCGCGAAGGACCUUUCUUGUGUGUGCCGCACAUAUGGCUGGAAACAAAAGCCACACUUCUCCUUUAUGUUUGCUACAACCUAACAUAAAAAAUAACCCCAAGCAUCUGUCCUCAGCCUCUGGAUACCAGCGACUUCUCUUCCAAGGAUCCCAUCUCUGAACACCCUGUUGAGAGCUCAGGGUGUGAGCAGGAAGAAGCACUGCCAAGAAGGAGAGAAUUGGAUCACGAUCAUGCUUGGUUCUGUCAGCGAAGGCCGGCUUUUUCUGAUUUAAAGCUGUUCUUGUCACGUGAGGAGAGCCAAGUACCUCAGAGGGGCUGAAGGGGACUCUGACCAAGCAGGUCCUAAAUUCAUUUUGUUUCUCUGUUCGUAGGAGUUGGUUGUGUCAUCAAUGAUCAAGCCUGUCUUUGUCGUCUGGACCUCAACUGUAAGGCUGGAGCACAGAUCGAGCCUUGCUCGGCUUUCAAACACUCAUGUUUACAACGCACAAAUGCUGAGGGAUCUCUAUAGUCUCCCUCAAGUCCAGCCUUCUCAUUAAGAAAGAAUAAAGAAACCACCACGUCUUAUUGAGGAAAGCCUUUUCAUAAGAUCAACAGUACACACACUGCUGGUCUCAGAACAUUUCUUUCGGGACAGCCAGGCCUACUUAUCCAUUCAGUGGCCCCAGACACCAGGUCCCAGAAUAGCUUGAGGUACCUGUGGAACCCACUUCGCCUCUAGCACGGAUCUUCCCAUCAGCAGCUCUCACCUUUCAGUUGAGUCAGAAAGUGAGGGAUUCAGCAAAGCUGGCCUUGCUUUCAUAACAAAACAACUUAACUAUUGCAGUAAUUAAUCCACUUCCACAGGAACGGUAACAAUAACAGCGUAGCAACCUAAUCACCAGUUAGGUUGUUGCACUACACAGGGAGACAACCGCUGCACUGGGAAUUAAGUUUCCAGUCCAGGAGGCUUGGCGGAUCUGUUGCAAGCACAGUAUAGCUGAAUCUCUCGUUGUC